rnacentral:rRNA from 1 species
CCCUUAGAUGUUCUGGGCCGCACGCGCACUACAAUGGUCUUCGCAAACGGAUGCAUUCUCGAAGGAGAAUGCCAAUCUUGGAAUCUAUGCCUUGGUCGGGACAGUUGCUUGCAAUUUUUCGACUCGAACCAGGAAUUCCUUGUAAUCGUGAUUCAUCACAUCACGAUGAAUACGUCCCUGCCCUUUGUACACACCGCCCGUCGCUCCUACCGAUCGAAGAGUUAGGUGAAUUGUUUUGAUCGAUAAGAUUUGACUAUGGUCAACUCUCGUUGUGAAAUUCUGUGAAUCUGACUGUUUAGAGGAAGGAAAAGUCGUAACA